rnacentral:rRNA from 1 species
UACGGGGGGAGCAAACGUUGUUCGGAAUCACUGGGCGUAAAGGGCGUGUAGGCGGCUGAAUAAGUGGGAUGUUAAAUCCCCCGGCUCAACCGGGGACCUGCAUCUCAUACUGUUCAGCUCGAGCACAUCAGAGGAGACUGGAAUUCCCGGUGUAGCGGUGAAAUGCGCAGAUAUCAGGAGGAGCACCAAUGGCGAAGGCAGCUCGCUGGGACGUGACUGACGCUGAGACGCGAAAGCGUGGGGAGCAAACAGG